rnacentral:rRNA from 1 species
AGUGAACGCUGGCGGUAGGCCUAACACAUGCAAGUCGAACGGCAGCACAGUAAGAGCUUGCUCUUACGGGUGGCGAGUGGCGGACGGGUGAGGAAUACAUCGGAAUCUACUUUUUCGUGGGGGAUAACGUAGGGAAACUUACGCUAAUACCGCAUACGACCUACGGGUGAAAGCAGGGGAUCUUCUGACCUUGCGCGAUUGAAUGAGCCGAUGUCGGAUUAGCUAGUUGGCGGGGUAAAGGCCCACCAAGGCGACGAUCCGUAGCUGGUCUGAGAGGAUGAUAGGCCACACUGGAACUGAGACACGGUCCAGACUCCUACGGGAGGCAGCAGUGGGGAAUAUUGGACAAUGGGCGCAAGCCUGAUCCAGCCAUACCGCGUGGGUGAAGAAGGCCUUCGGGUUGUAAAGCCCUUUUGUUGGGAAAGAAAAGCAGCAGGUUAAUACCCCGCUGUUCUGACGGUACCCAAAGAAUAAGCACCGGCUAACUUCGUG